AUCAAGAUGAUCAAAUCGUGAUCCUCGUUGAGAAACAGCGUAACAGCAAGAUACCCAGUUCGCUUGAGGAGCAAAUUGUCAUUGUGGGUCAUCUUAACAGCGUGUAUGUAUCCGAAAGAAGCAUCGUGGCCAAGCAUCUCGACGUAGACAAGGCGGAUGAUGUACUCCUUCAUCUUCCGCCUGGGGAUGUCAGGCUCAACGAUGCGUCGUUUGAGGGUUUCGAUCUCGCUAAGAACAAUUCGGUCCUCCUCGGCCUUGGAUCGAGCCUCGCCGAUUGAUUUGACAAGAUCGAGGAAUUCUUUAGAUUGGCCAAAGCCGCCUUGUGAGCCCAUGGCGAGCUCCCUUCCUAUGGUCUUGAGUUGCUCCAUUGGAUUGAAUUUGAUUAUCGAAGUGAAUUAGGGUUUUGGAGCUGGAAAUUGUAGCAUCAGUGAUGAGCCGCUUUGGUUUAAAUCAGAG
rnacentral:misc_RNA from 1 species